rnacentral:lncRNA from 1 species
UAUGAUCAAUCCUUAGUUGAAAUUUUCUCAAUACGAGAAGUACUCCAUUGGUUGAAGGCACAACAAUUUGAUAGGAUAAUAAUUGAAUCGGAUUGCCUUGAUGUUGUUAACGUGUUGAUCUCUUCUUCUGUUAAUAAUUAUGAGUUUAGUAUUAUGAUUAGUGGUUGCUUAAUGUUGAAAGAUUUGUUUCAAUGUCUAUUCUUUCUUUGGACAAAAUGGGAUAACAAGAAAGAUCACUUUCUUUUUAGAGUAACUCUGUUUUAUGCAAACUAGUUUUAUUCGGAUGUUGUUCCCUACGCAAUUUCUUCCAUUUUGACUUCUAAUGCUUCUCUUAGCUUUAUCGUUGAAUUUUAGGGAUUAUACGAAUAGAUGUAUCAGGAAAGCAUGUUGAUUUGGGUUAUCGUAAUUCUCGAAUUUUAUUGAUGAUUU